rnacentral:rRNA from 1 species
GACGUAGGAGGCGAGCGUUAUCCGGAUUCACUGGGCGUAAAGCGCAAGUAGGCGGUUGUGAAAGUCCGUUGUUAAAGCCCCUGGCUUAACUGGGGGAGGUCAAUGGAGACUUUAUGACUUGAGGGCAACAGAGGCAUGUGGAACUCCCGGUGUAGCGGUGGAAUGCGCAGAUAUCAGGAGGAACACCGGUGGCGAAGGCGGGUCUCUGGGCCGUAACUGACGCUGAGGAGCGAAGCGUGGGAGCGAACAGG